rnacentral:rRNA from 1 species
AGUGAACGCUGGCGGUAGGCCUAACACAUGCAAGUCGAAUGGCCGUUCAGUACGAGCUUGCUCUUAUGGGUGGCGAGUGGAGGCCGGGUGAGGAAAACAACGGACUCUACCUUUUCUUGGGGGAUACCGUAGGGCAUCUUAAGCUAAUACCGCAUACGUCCUACGGGUGAAAGCAGGGACCCUUCGGACUUUGCGCGAUUGAUUGCGCCGAUGUCGGAUUAGCUAGUUGGCGGGGUAAAGGCGCACCAAGGCGACGAUCUGUAGCUGGUCUAUGAGGGUGAUAUGCCACACUGGAACUGGGACACGGUCCAGACUCCUACGGGUCGCAACAGUGGGGAAUUUUGGACAAUGGGCUCAAACCUGAUCCAGCCAUACCGCGUAGGUGAAGAAGGCCUUCGGGUUGUAAAACCCUUUUGUUGGGAAAGAAAAGCAGCAGGUUAAUACCCCGCUGUUCUGACGGUACCCAAAGAAUAAGCACCGGCUGACUUCGUG